rnacentral:rRNA from 1 species
UACGUAGGGUGCAAGCGUUAAUCGGAAUUACUGGGCGUAAAGCGUGCGCAGGCGGUUAUGUAAGACAGAUGUGAAAUGCCCGGGCUUAACCUGGGAACUGCAUUUGUGACUGCAUGGCUAGAGUUUGGCAGAGGGGGGUAGAAUUCCACGUGUAGCAGUGAAAUGCGUAGAUAUGUGGAGGAACACCGAUGGCGAAGGCAGCCCCCUGGGUCAAGACUGACGCCCAUGCACGAAAGCGUGGGGAGCAAACAGG